rnacentral:rRNA from 1 species
UGGGGAAUAUUGGGCAAUGGAGGAAACUCUGACCCAGCGACGCCGCGUGAGGGAUGAAGGCUUCGGGUUGUAAACCUCUUUCAGUAGGGAAGAAGCGAAAGUGACGGUACCUACAGAAGAAGCACCGGCUAACUAUGUGCCAGCAGCCGCGGUAAUACAUAGGGUGCAAGCGUUGUCCGGAAUUAUUGGGCGUAAAGAGCUCGUAGGUGGUUCGAUACGUCGGAUGUGAAAAUCAGGGGCUCAACCCCUGACCUGCAUCCGAUACGGUCGAGCUAGAGUUUGGUAGGGGAGACUGGAAUUCCUGGUGUAGCGGUGGAAUGCGCAGAUAUCAGGAGGAACACCGAUGGCGAAGGCAGGUCUCUGGGCCAAUACUGACACUGAGGAGCGAAAGCGUGGGGAGCGAACAGGAUUAGAUACCCUGGUAGUCCACGCGUAAACGUUGGGCGCUAGUUGUGCGAACCUUCCUCGGUUUGUGCGACGUCCUUCGCAUUAAGCGCCCUCACUGGGAGUCA